rnacentral:rRNA from 1 species
UAGGGAAUUUUCGUCAAUGGGGGGAACCCUGAACGAGCAAUGCCGCGUGAGUGAGGAAGGUCUUCGGAUCGUAAAGCUCUGUUGUAAGAGAAAAACGGCACUCAUAGGGAAUGAUGAGUGAGUGAUGGUAUCUUACCAGAAAGUCACGGCUAACUACGUGCCAGCAGCCGCGGUAAUACGUAGGUGGCGAGCGUUAUCCGGAAUGAUUGGGCGUAAAGGGUGCGUAGGUGGCAGAUCAAGUCUGGAGUAAAAGGUAUGGGCUCAACCCGUACUUGCUCUGGAAACUGAUCAGCUAGAGAACAGAAGAGGACGGCGGAACUCCAUGUGUAGCGGUAAAAUGCGUAGAUAUAUGGAAGAACACCGGUGGCGAAGGCGGCCGUCUGGUCUGGAUUCUGACACUGAAGCACGAAAGCGUGGGGAGCAAAUAGGAUUAGAUACCCUAGUAGUCCACGCCGUAAACGAUGAGAACUAGGUGUUGGGGGAAUAACUCAGUGCCGCAGUUAACGCAAUAAGUUCUCCGCCUGGGGAGUAUGCACGCAAGUGUGAAACUCAAAGGAAUUGACGGGGGCCCGCACAAGCGGUGGAGUAUGUGGUUUAAUUCGAAGCAACGCGAAGAACCUUACCAGGCCUUGACAUCCCUUGCAGAGGUAUAGAGAUAUAUCCGAGGUUAUCAAGGAGACAGGUGGUGCAUGGUUGUCGUCAGCUCGUGUCGUGAGAUGUUGGGUUAAGUCCCGCAACGAGCGCAACCCUUGUGAUAUGUUACUAACAUUGAGUUGAGGACUCAUAUCAGACUGCCGGUGAUAAACCGGAGGAAGGUGGGGAUGACGUCAAAUCAUCAUGCCCCUUAUGGCCUGGGCUACACACGUACUACAAUGGCGUCUACAAAGAGCGGCAAGCCUGUGAAGGCAAGCGAAUCUCAUAAAGGACGUCUCAGUUCGGAUUGAAGUCUGCAACCCGACUUCAUGAAGCUGGAAUCGCUAGUAAUCGCGAAUCAGCAUGUCGCGGUGAAUACGUUCUC